rnacentral:rRNA from 1 species
ACACAUGCAAGUCGAGGGGCAGCGGGAUUGAAGCUUGCUUCAAUUGCCGGCGACCGGCGCACGGGUGAGUAACGCGUAUCCAACCUUCCGUACACUCAGGGAUAGCCUUUCGAAAGAAAGAUUAAUACCUGAUGGUAUGAUGAGAUUGCAUAAUAGCAUCAUUAAAGAUUCAUCGGUGUACGAUGGGGAUGCGUUCCAUUAGGUAGUAGGCGGGGUAACGGCCCACCUAGCCUACGAUGGAUAGGGGUUCUGAGAGGAAGGUCCCCCACAUUGGAACUGAGACACGGUCCAAACUCCUACGGGAGGCAGCAGUGAGGAAUAUUGGUCAAUGGACGAGAGUCUGAACCAGCCAAGUAGCGUGAAGGAUGAAGGUCCUACGGAUUGUAAACUUCUUUUAUAAGGGAAUAAAACCUCCCACGUGUGGGAGCUUGUAUGUAUCUUAUGAAUAAGCAUCGGCUAACUCCGUGCCAGCAGCCACGGUAAUACGGAGGAUGCGAGCGUUAUCCGGAUUUAUUGGGUUUAAAGGGAGCGCAGACGGGUCGUUAAGUCAGCUGUGAAAGUUUGGGGCUCAACCUUAAAAUUGCAGUUAAUACUGGCGUCCUUGAGUGCGGUUGAGGUGUGCGGAAUUCGUGGUGUAGCGGUGAAAUGCUUAGAUAUCACGAAGAACUCCGAUUGCGAAGGCAGCACACUAAGCCGUAACUGACGU